rnacentral:rRNA from 1 species
UACGUAGGCAGCGAGCGUUGUUCGGAGUUACUGGGCGUAAAGCGUGCGUAGGCGGUUGUCUAAGUUUGGUGUGAAAUCUCCUGGCUUAACUGGGAGGGUGCGCCGAAAACUGGGUGACUGGAGUGUCGGAGAGGUAAGCGGAAUUCCUGGUGUAGCGGUGAAAUGCGUAGAGAUCAGGAGGAACACCUGUGGCGUAGACAGCUUACUGGACGAUAACUGACGCUGAGGCACGAAAGCGUGGAUAGCAAACAGG